rnacentral:rRNA from 1 species
CAGUCGCCACGGGAAUACGUAGGGUGCAAGCGUUAAUCGGAAUUACUGGGCGUAAAGCGUGCGCAGACGGUCCGCUAAGACUGAUGUGAAAUCCCUGGGCUUAACCUGGGAACUGCAUUUGUGACUGGCGGGCUAGAGUAUGGCAGAGGGGGGUAGAAUUCCACGUGUAGCAGUGAAAUGCGUAGAGAUGUGGAGGAAUACCGAUGGCGAAGGCAGCCCCCUGGGCCAAUACUGACGCUCAUGCACGAAAGCGUGGGGAGCAAACAGGAUUAGAUACCCGUGUAGUCCCUGUCUCUUAUAA